rnacentral:rRNA from 1 species
GAGUUUGAUCCUAGCUCAGAAUGAACGCUGGCGGCGUGGAUUAGGCAUGCAAGUCGAACGGGGUGGCAACACCCAGUGGCGACCUGGACAGUACAAGUUGGGUAACCUGCCCGAAAGUGGGGAACAACGUCCCGAAAGGGGCGCUAAUACCGCAUGUGGUUACGGGGUCUUCGGCCUCUGUAACUAAAGCAGCAAUGCGCUUUUCGGAUGGGCCCGAUGCCCAUUAGCUUGUUGGCGAGGUAACGGCUCACCAAGGCUACGAUGGGUAGGUGGUCUGAGAGGAUGGACACCGUCACGAGGACUGGGAUACGGCCUCGACUCCUACGGGGGGCAGCAGUCUAGAAGCUUCGGCAAUGGGCGAAAAGCCUGACCGAGCGAACGCCGCGUGGAGGAUGAAAGGUCUUCGGAUUGUAAAACUCCUUUCGGCGGGAAGGAACGUCUGGGUGGCGAACUCAGGCUU